AGUGUGAAAUAGGUAAGAGAACAGAGGAAGGAUAAUUAAAUAAUAAAGCAAUGUGAUUUUUAAAACCACCUAAUACUAUCUUCAGUAUGAGUGGAAUGGAAUUUACGUUUUAUAAAUAUUUAUAGUAUACUAGUAGUCAACUAUCUUUCUGUAAUACCUUUAAUAAAGUUUUUAUGUAGUUUGUAGAAUGCAUUGCCAGUGCUUUCAAAAUAGUUCCUUGAAUUUCAGUACUGUGCUUUGGUUAUGUUUUCUGAUUUUAAGACAUAGUCUUUAUAGGGAAUAGAAUAACAGGAAGACUAAUAAAAAGAGUGUACUCUGUACCUGUAAAGAAAAGCCCACUAUAAAUUGGUCAGAAAUAAAUGUUACCUUGACUUCCUCCAGAUGGAAGUGAGUGACACACUGUGCAUCCUUGCCUCACCAGGAAACUAUUAAAAGUUCCUGAGGAAGCAAAGUAGAAUUUCAUAAAAACAAAAUGAAUGGAGAGGAGAAAACCUAUGGUGGCCAUGAAGGCCCUAAUGAUGCCAUGUAUGUCAAAUUGAUAUCGUCUAAUGGCCAUGAAUUUAUGGCCAUAAAAUCAGAAUGUGUGUUAACAUCAGGCACAAUAAAAGCCAUGUUGAGGGGCCUAGGUCAGUUUGCUGAGAAUGAAACCAAUUAGGUCAAUUUUAGAGAGAUACCUUCACAUGUGCUAUCAAAAGUAUGUGUGUAUUUUACACUAACAACUCCACCGAGAUUCCUGAAUAUCCAAUUGCACCUGAAAUUGCACUAGAACUGCUAAUGGCUGCAAACUUCCUAGAUUGUUAAAUAAAAUAAAUUAUAAUUUAGAAAAAGAAAUGUCGCCUUCAAAAACGGUAGAGUUAAAAAGAUUAGCAUUUUUUUCCAACUGUUUUGUGUAGAUUAACUUAAAUUUCUGAGGAUGAUUGAGUUGUACAUAGAAAUUAUUACCAUUAGGAAAUAGUUAUGUUACAUAAAGCAAUAACAAGAGGCUAAUAAUGUAUUAUGUUAUAAAUUGUUAGGAAUGUUGAAUUGUGGUGAAAUUGGGAAAGAGUAAAUCUUUUAAUAAGUAAUUGAAGACUACUUGAAGGGACAUGAACUGGAGAUGCAAGAAAAAUUAUUUUAAGGGAUUGGUUCAUUAUUCUGCAGCUUCCCCAUGCCAACAAUCUUUGUUACACACUUAAAAGUUUAGGAAGUUAGAAGCUGAAUGAACAAAUCAUCAAAUUGAAUAUCAAAAAUUUCUAAAGUUUUGUUCUGUGUUUCAUUUAUUGGCACUUACCCCAAACAAACAAAUCAUUUUAGUUUAUCCAGGUGGAUAGCCCCUUUUGGUAUGUCAAAUUGAAGUAGAUUCUUUGGAAAAGGAGAAGUAUGGCUAAUUAAAAUAAAAUUUAUCAUGUGCUAAUCACUGUUCUAUGUGCUUUAAAUAUUCAUUUAAUUUUGUAACAGCCUUUAAUAAGCUCAGUAGUGAUCUUAUGCCCAUUUUCAGAGGUGUAAAUAGAGACACAAAGAGAUUAAUAACUUGCUUAACGUCACACAGCUCUUAUGUGGUAGAGCUGGAAUUUUAGCCUUGUCACUCUGGCUCCAGAAUAUAUCUCUAAAGCAUUAUGCUUUGCUGCUCCAGGAUAGGAUAUUCAAUUCAUCCAGCCUUGUUUCUGUUCUUAAGACCAGUGGUCCAGAUCUGAAUUUUCACCUCUAUUUAGAAAAGCUGUUGUGCAGUGUUUAGGUUGGUAAGAUUUAUUUUAGUCCCAGUUCACAGUGCCUUUUACUUUCUGAGAGUGCCAAAAGUUCUCGUAAAAUAAUCCUCUGUAAGCUCUGGCAUACUUUAACUCCUCCGCACCCCCUUUCUUGAUUUUAAAAGUAACAUUAUGGGGUUUUUUGUUUUGUUUUGUUUAAUAUUCAAGUAAGUAUGAUAUUAUGAGAUUCAAUUAUGUGCUUGCUUAAAACUUGUUCUCCAUGUUAUAGAUGACGUUUAAAAUAUAUGAGUUUAUUAUAAAAUACUGUAGAAUUAAUAGCCAGUUGAUUCUACUCCCACUGGAGGGUUUGGCAGAAAAUAAGGAAGCUUCUGUUUCAUAUUUUUUAAAAGAGCUAGUUGAUUGAGCUCUUAAUUACCUAGAAGAUAAAAGACAAUGAAUCUGGCUAUUUCUUCACAGUUGUUUCUUGCAAUUUCUUCUUAGUAUCUCCACAAGCGGGUAGCUGGGAAAAGAAACUUAAAACUCAUCAGUCUACUUCAUAAUUUUAUAGCAUUAGUGAAACACCUAGUGAUAGCUUCUUUUUAACUAUUAUGAAAGUAAGGUUUGGCUCAAGUUUAUGUCAGAUUUCUCUGUUAUUACAAAUAAUUAUAAACUCAUUGUAUGUGUUAUACAUCUUCAAAUUUGUAUACUUCUGCUAGUUUUGAGGACUGGAAAGACUCCAGGAAUAAACAAACAUCCCCAAGUCCCUUUUUUCCUGUCUCAGACGAGAGUGAAGAUGCCAAAGAGCUUGAACGUAAUGCUGGACUUGGUUUUAGAUGAUAUUGGUGUUGACAUCUGAACAGACUAUUGGUUUAUUUUAAAUGUGCUUACUAUACAUUUUAACAAAUGUAUAGAUAUUUCUUUACUAUUCAGAUACUUGUAGAGUGACAGUUUCAGGUACAAAAUUGUUCAAGCAGAAGACACAAGUGCUCUCUUUGUUUAUUCAUUGAUAAUUCUAGUAAAAUAAAAAUUUCCCCUGACUUGCUGUUUCAGUUCCCAAAAGAAAUUAGAUUGUCCCAUGUACUAAUUUGAUUUAUGUAUUUUAAGUGUACUACAUGUCCCAGGUAGUAUAUUUGAUUUAUGUAUUUUGAGUGAGUAAAUGAACAAACUAAGGUUUUGGUAAUUGAAAGCUUUGAAAUUUUCUUAGCUAUGAGCAGUCAGAUUAGAAGGCUCAGCCUUAAGAAGUUGGAUUCUGAAUUUAUUUUCACAGAUUCCUUAAAGAUUGCUCCCAUUCCUUGGAUAUUGCUUUCUGCUUAUUAUUCUUUAAAACUUAAUUGGAAGCAAGCAGCCAAAUCAAAUCUAAUGAGGAUAAGUAAGCCUAUAUUUCUUCAAUAGCCAAUGAGAAAAUAAGGUUCAAGAUACUGAUUCAUUUCAGUGAUUUUAAGGAAUUAAAUGAUACUUACACAUUUGCUUUCUGAUUUUAAAAAUAAUUGAGUGAUUUUUAAGCCAUCUGAAAUUCUGUGACAGGCAGUCACAUUUGAUAGACACAUUUUCAGUCUAGGUGAAAGCUUAUCUCUGUGAAUCAAAUUGUCAUACUGAAUAUAAUGUAACUACUUUUUUAUGACUCAGGGUCAUUAUGAAAAAUUAUUUUAAUACUCUGCUUACUGAAAUGCCCUAAGACUUUUUGUAUUUAGAACAUUAAAAAAUGCCUGGCAGUG